CCUACGGGGGGCUGCAGUGGGGAAUCUUCCGCAAUGGACGAAAGUCUGACGGAGCAACGCCGCGUGAGUGAUGACGGCCUUCGGGUUGUAAAGCUCUGUUAAUCGGGACGAAAGGCCUUCUUGCGAAUAGUGAGAAGGAUUGACGGUACCGGAAUAGAAAGCCACGGCUAACUACGUGCCAGCAGCCGCGGUAAUACGUAGGUGGCAAGCGUUGUCCGGAAUUAUUGGGCGUAAAGCGCGCGCAGGCGGAUAGGUCAGUCUGUCUUAAAAGUUCGGGGCUUAACCCCGUGAUGGGAUGGAAACUGCCAAUCUAGAGUAUCGGAGAGGAAAGUGGAAUUCCUAGUGUAGCGGUGAAAUGCGUAGAUAUUAGGAAGAACACCAGUGGCGAAGGCGACUUUCUGGACGAAAACUGACGCUGAGGCGCGAAAGCCAGGGGAGCGAACGGGAUUAGAUACCCGGGUAGUC
rnacentral:rRNA from 1 species